rnacentral:rRNA from 1 species
AGUGAACGCUGGCGGUAGGCCUAACACAUGCAAGUCGAACGGCAGCACAGGAGAGCUUGCUCUCUGGGUGGCGAGUGGCGGACGGGUGAGGAAUACAUCGGAAUCUACCUUUUCGUGGGGGAUAACGUAGGGAAACUUACGCUAAUACCGCAUACGACCUACGGGUGAAAGUGGGGGACCGCAAGGCCUCACGCGAUUAGAUGAGCCGAUGUCCGAUUAGCGAGUUGGCGGGUUAAUGGCCCACCAAGGCGACGAUCGGUAGCUGGUCUGAGAGGAUGAUCAGCCACACUGGAACUGAGACACGGUCCAGACUCCUACGGGAGGCAGCAGUGGGGAAUAUUGGACAAUGGGCGCAAGCCUGAUCCAGCCAUACCGCGUGGGUGAAGAAGGCCUUCGGGUUGUAAAGCCCUUUUGUUGGGAAAGAAAUCCUGUCGAUUAAUACUCGGUGGGGAUGACGGUACCCAAAGAAUAAGCACCGGCUAACUUCGUGCCAGCCGCCGCCGUAA